AAAGAAGUAGGCGCAAUGAGGAGUCAUGUUCAUUCACAAGCUCUAACAGAGAAAGUUGGGGCAGAUGUUCAUCUUUAGGUGCAGCCAGUGAUGAAUUAUUCUCAGGCGAUAAUAAUGAUAAGCAGAUAUGAGCCCUUGGGCCUCCAGUUCGGGCAACAAGCAUAUGGCAAAGAGAGUGAGGGGGCAUGAUAUUGUUUUCCAAUUCCAAGAUCUAAGGAGCAAAGACUAUUAAUUAUCAUAAACAAGAUUUCUAAUUGGUGAAAGCUUUUUAUAUAUAGCAGACUGUGAUGAUGUGUAGAGGCAAAGGAUCCUUCAGAGUUCAUCACUCAUCGAGCCAAAGAUUUUGUGUCAAGCAUGAAGGACAUUGAAACCCGGUUUAUGUGUAUAGUUGAAGCAGGAAAUAAGGUUUCUAGAAUGCUUGAAACCAAGAAGAUCUUGCUUGACAUAUGUGCUAAAAUACCAGGAUUCUAGGUUCUCCAGUUAAGCUACCUACUGCCCGAUUGUGUCAGCACUUCAAGUGUGCUGCAAUUGUGAUGUUAUUCUCAACCAUGGUAACCAGGGAUGAGGAAGUUGUUGGACUUUGAUGAACCUAGAACUCUUGCACCAACUUGUCUUUUUGUUGGAGGUACAAAAUACAUGGUGAUCCAAGGUGAACCUAGAGUGGUCAUCCGAGGAAAGAAGGUCACUGCAUUGCUGAUAGUGAGGAGCAGAAAGUUCAUGUUAUUGCUGGUGUGUUGACCCUUACCACUCUCCAAUUUUAGUCCACCCCUAUUGACCACAUAGUUCAAAUGAGUAUUAUGGGUGUGAUUACAUGAGUCAUAUCUGCAACAUGGCUCAUUUUUGAAUGUUUGCUGGUGGGAUGCUCAUCUCUUCUAUGUCUACAAGAAUAUUUUGCCAGUGAUGACGUGUGUUUAGAGGAUGGGAUCCUUGCAAUUGUCAAACA